rnacentral:rRNA from 1 species
AGUGAACGCUGGCGGUAGGCCUAACACAUGCAAGUCGAACGGCAGCACAGUAAGAGCUUGCUCUUACGGGUGGCGAGUGGCGGACGGGUGAGGAAUACAUCGGAAUCUACUUUUUCGUGGGGGAUAACGUAGGGAAACUUACGCUAAUACCGCAUACGACCUACGGGUGAAAGCAGGGGAUCUUCGGACCUUGCGCGAUUGAAUGAGCCGAUGUCGGACUAGCUAGUUGGCGGGGUAAAGGCCCACCAAGGCGACGAUCCGUAGCUGGUCUGAGAGGAUGAUCAGCCACACUGGAACUGAGACACGGUCCAGACUCCUACGGGAGGCAGCAGUGGGGAAUAUUGGACAAUGGGCGCAAGCCUGAUCCAGCCAUACCGCGUGGGUGAAGAAGGCCUUCGGGUUGUAAAGCCCUUUUGUUGGGAAAGAAAAGCAGCAGGUUAAUACCCCGCUGUUCUGACGGUACCCAAAGAAUGAGCACCGGCUAACUUCGUG